rnacentral:rRNA from 1 species
UCGAGAAUCUUCCGCAAUGGGCGAAAGCCUGACGGAGCGAUGCCGCGUGAGGGAUGAAGGUCUUCGGAUUGUAAACCUCUGUCACCCGGGACGAAGAAUGUGACGGUACCGGGAGAGGAAGCCACGGCUAACUACGUGCCAGCAGCCGCGGUAAUACGUAGGUGGCGAGCGUUACUCGGAUUCACUGGGCGUAAAGGGUCCGCAGGGGGUCUGCCAAGUCUGACGUGAAAGCCCACAGCUCAACUGUGGAACGGCGUUGGAUACUGGCGGGCUGGAGUGCACGAGAGGAGAGCGGAAUUCCUGGUGUAGCGGUGGAAUGCGUAGAUAUCAGGAGGAACACCCAUGGCGAAGGCAGCUCUCUGGCGUGCUACUGACCCUCAUGGACGAAAGCGUGGGUAGCAAACA